rnacentral:rRNA from 1 species
CCCUGCCAUUUGUACACACCGCCCGUCGCUACUACCGAUUGAAUGGCUUAGUGAGUCCUCCGGAUCAGAAGGUGUCGCCGGCAACGGCGUUCAUCCUUUAGAGAAGUUGGGCAAACUUGGUCAUUUAGAGGAAGUAAAAGUCGUAACAAG